CCCCCUUCAAUAAAAAAGUCAUCUAACUUUCCUAACAUGCUGAGGUAGAAAAACUUUCAGUGAAGAAAAGGAAUAGUAGCAGCAGUAAUAAUAAUAGCAAACACAUGUUUACUGGAUUUGAGCCUUAGAGGAAUGAUAUGGCCUAGAGAUUAAAAUGUGAGUCAUCUGUAUGGGGGUGAUAUUUGAAGUCACGUACAUAAUUGAGGGUGUCUGAAGAGUUAUAUGAGAAGAGAGCAAUCCUAGGACUGAGUCCUAAGGAACUGAAUCACUGAAUGGCCAGGAAGAAAAAGAGGAGUGUAAAAAUGAGUCCCAGGACUCGUGACGCCAAGGCUGCUGCGAGCGGCUAUGAAGAGUCGGGGUUGAGGUGGGGUUGAGCCCCAAAUGAGCCGAGGGCUCGCACUCUUCUGGUCUCCCAGGACCGCCCCACCUGAAGAAAUGAGUGGUGGAUUGGCUCCAAGUAAGAGCACAGUGUAUGUAUCCAGCUUGCCCUUUCCCUGACAAUGACCUGUAGCGGAUAUUUUCCAACUAUGGCAAAGUUGUAAAGGUUACCAUAAUGAAAGAUAAAGAUAUCAGGAAGAGUAAAGGGGUUGCAUUUAUUGUAUUUUUGCAUAAACACGGCACAAAACUGUACCAGGGCAAUACACAACAGUUAUUUAGUAGAGUGAUAAAAGCAAGCAUUGGCUGAGAGCAUGCUAUUGACAAUGGAAGAGCAGCUGUGUUCAUCCAAAGGCGAAACUACUUUGAAAAUCCAAGUGUUAUGAAUGUGGGGAAAGUGGACAUUUAAGUUAUGCCUGUCCAAAAUAUGCUUGGAGAACGUGGGCCUCCAAAGAAGAAAGAAAAAAAGAAAAAAAAGAAAAGUUCUGAAUCAGAAGAAAUUGAGGAAGUAGAAGAAAGUAAAGAUGAAGGGGAGAAUCCUGCUCUUGACAGCCUGAGUGUCAGGCCACAGCAUUCCAGCAGCCAAAAUUGAAGAACAAGAUGAUCAAGAUGCCCAAGGAUAAAGAAAAGCACAUAUUUCCGUGAUGAGGAAGAAACUUAGUGAUUAAAAUCUUGCCCUAGCACAGAUAAUAAAAAUUAAGAUUUGUUAGUAACAAUCUUGCAUGAUUGAU